rnacentral:rRNA from 1 species
UACGGAGGGUGCGAGCGUUGUCCGGAAUUAUUGGGCGUAAAGGGCUCGUAGGCGGUCUGUUGCGUCGGGAGUGAAAACUUACAGCUUAACUGUGAGCGUGCUUCCGAUACGGGCAGACUUGAGGUAUUCAGGGGAGAACGGAAUUCCUGGUGUAGCGGUGAAAUGCGCAGAUAUCAGGAGGAACACCGAUGGCGAAGGCAGCUCGCUGGGACGGUACUGACGCUGAGGCGCGAAAGCGUGGGGAGCAAACAGG